rnacentral:lncRNA from 1 species
CUUUUAUUUCUUCCUCGAGCUCCCAAGUGGCCUCUCUUUCUGAGUGAUUGCUCCAUUGCACCUUUACAUAAGGAAUGGUCCGACGUCGCAACACUUGAUCCUUUCUAUCCACAAUCCGUACCGGAUACUCUUCAUGAGUCAGAUCCUCAUGCAGACUUAUAGGCUCAAAAUCUACCACAUGGUUCGGGUCCGGAAUAUAUUU